GCCGGGAUCGCAUAACCUGGUAGUGCGCACGCCUGGAAAGCGUGUGGUCGCAAGGCCUUAUGGGUUCAGGUCAAUAAGCCCCGAAAAAUGGGUUCGUGUUGCGCCGCCCAAAAAUCCCAUUCCCGGCG
rnacentral:tRNA from 1 species